GUAGUCCUGGCUGUAAACGCUGCCCACUUGGUGUUGCCCUUUCGUAGGGAAGGGGCAGUGCCGGAGCGAAGGUGUUAAGUGGGCCGCUUGGGGAGUAUGGUCGCAAGGCUGAAACUUAAAGGAAUUGGCGGGAGAGCACCGCAACGGGAGGAGCGUGCGGUUUAAUUGGAUUCAACGCCGGAAAACUCACCAGGAGAGACCAUGGUAUGAGAGUCAACCUGAAGAGCUUACUCGAUUACAUGGAGAAGUGGUGCAUGGCCGUCGUCAGCUCGUACCGUAAAGCGUUCACUUAAGUGUGAUAACGAGCGAGACCCCCAUCCACAUUUGCUAAUAUAAUCGCGAGAUUAUAUGCACUAUGUGGAGACUGCCAGUGUUAAACUGGAGGAAGGAGAGGUCAACGGCAGGUCAGUAUGCCCCGAAUCUCCUGGGCUACGCGCGCGCUACAAAGGACGGAACAAUGGGUCGCGACUCCGAAAGGAGAAGCUAAUCUCGAAAUCCGUUCGUAGUUCAGACUGAGGGCUGUAAUUCGCCCUCACGAAGCUGGAUUCCGUAGUAAUCGCGAAUCAACAGUUCGCGGUGAAUAUGCCCCUGCUCUUUGCACACACCGCCUGUCAAGCCAUCCGAGUUGGUUUUGGAUGAGGGUAUACUUCUUGGCAUAUUCGAAUCCAAGAUUGAUGAGGAGGGCUAAGUCAUAACAAGGUAUCCGUAGGGGAACCUGCGGCUGGAUCACCUCC
rnacentral:rRNA from 1 species